GAUGAACGCUGGCGGCGUGCCUAAUACAUGCAAGUCGAGCGAACAGAUAAGGAGCUUGCUCCUUUGACGUUAGCGGCGGACGGGUGAGUAACACGUGGGUAACCUACCUAUAAGACUGGGAUAACUUCGGGAAACCGGAGCUAAUACCGGAUAACAUUUGGAACCGCAUGGUUCUAAAGUGAAAGAUGGUUUUGCUAUCACUUAUAGAUGGACCCGCGCCGUAUUGGCUAGUUGGUAAGGUAACGGCUUACCAAGGCGACGAUACGUAGCCGACCUGAGAGGGUGAUCGGCCACACUGGAACUGAGACACGGUCCAGACUCCUACGGGAGGCAGCAGUAGGGAAUCUUCCGCAAUGGGCGCAAGCCUGACGGAGCAACGCCGCGUGAGUGAUGAAGGGUUUCGGCUCGUAAAACUCUGUUAUUAGGGAAGAACAAAUGUGUAAGUAACUGUGCACGUCUUGACGGUACCUAAUCAGAAAGCCACGGCUAACUACGUG
rnacentral:rRNA from 1 species